rnacentral:snRNA from 1 species
GGAUGUGAGGGCCAUCUGGCUGGGACACUUGUCGCCCCAUUGAUUGCCAGGGUUGAUUCGGCUGAUCUGGCUGGCGGGGCAGGUGUCCCCUUCCUCCCUCACUGCUCCAUGUGCCUCUCUCCCCAAGCUGCUCGCUGGGUUGAAGAGGACAACCUGCCCCAUAGAAGGAGGACCGUCCUUCAGUCAAGGGUAUAUGAGUAGCUCGCUCCCCUGCCAGAAUCUCCAGACAAGUCUCAAAUGGUGCUAAUGUACUAACAAGGGAUCAAAGACCUAACUGAAAGAGCGAAAACCAUAACAUUUUU